UACGAAGGGGGCUAGCGUUGUUCGGAAUUACUGGGCGUAAAGCGCACGUAGGCGGAAUGUUAAGUCAGGGGUGAAAUCCCGGGGCUCAACCCCGGAACUGCCUUUGAUACUGGCAUUCUCGAGUCCGGAAGAGGUGAGUGGAAUUCCGAGUGUAGAGGUGAAAUUCGUAGAUAUUCGGAGGAACACCAGUGGCGAAGGCGGCGUCUGGACUGCAACUGACACUGAGAGACGGAAAGCCCAGGGGGAGGCAAAACGGGGAUUAGAAAACCC
rnacentral:rRNA from 1 species